rnacentral:rRNA from 1 species
GACAGAGGGUGCGAACGUUGUUCGGAAUUACUGGGCGUAAAGCGCGUGUAGGCGGCAACGCAGGUCGGGCGUGAAAUCCCACGGCUCAACCGUGGAAGUGCACUCGAAACUGCGUAGCUAGAGUCCUGGAGAGGAAGGUGGAAUGCUUGGUGUAGAGGUGAAAUUCGUAGAUAUCAAGCGGAACACCGGUGGCGAAGGCGGCCUUCUGGACAGUGACUGACGCUGAGACGCGAAAGCGUGGGGAGCAAACAGGG